rnacentral:misc_RNA from 1 species
CAAGAAACGGGGCCGCGUGCGCUCGCCCGCCCGGCCCCGCUCCUUUCCUUGCCUACUGCACCGUUUGUUGCUUCCUGGCGGCGGACUGCCCGCCGCCAGGGACGUUGAUACAACCCUGUAUAGAAGCAUUGAAGCUCUGAGAAAACGCGAAAUCGUA